GAUGAAGAACGCAGCGAAAUGCGAUAAGUAAUGUGAAUUGCAGAAUUCAGUGAAUCAUCGAAUCUUUGAACGCACAUUGCGCCCCCUGGUAUUCCGGGGGGCAUGCCUGUCCGAGCGUCAUUACAACCCUCAAGCUCAGCUUGGUAUUGGGCCCCGCCGACCCGGCGGGCCCUAAAGUCAGUGGCGGUGCCGUCCGGCUCCGCGCGUAGUAAUUCUUCUCGCUCUGGAGGUCCGGUCGUGUGCUCGCCAGCAACCCCCAAUUUUUUUCAGGUUGACCUCGGAUCAGGUAGGGAUACCCGCUGAACUUAAGCAUAUCAAUAAGCGGAGGA
rnacentral:misc_RNA from 1 species